CUGUUUGGAACCUGGGAUUCAAAUGGCCUGGCAGGAAGUGCUCUAGCAGAGGGACUCUGGCCUUGCAAGAGUCCCUAUUUCCCCCUUUUUUUUUGCUUUUCACACAGUAAAACCCUGCUUUACUUCCCUUUGAGUCGUCUGUGAGCCUAAAUUUUUGUGGCUGUGGGAAGGACAAGAACCCCAUCUUUAGCUGAAAUAAGGAAAAGUUCCGCAACAUUUUUGGCACACACCCUGGGGGCUCCGGAAGUGAAAGUUCCCAGGAGAUGAAGACAUUGAAACUGCCAUCAUAAAAUUAAUAAAAGGUUCAAGAUUAGAAUUAUGGUAUUGGCCUGGAUUUUGUUAAGACAGAGACAUAGGAUUAUGUUGGCUCGGAGAAUGAUACCUCAAAGGCUGGUGCUGAGAGUUCUUAGAAGCUGCUUCAGAAUCAAGUUGUCUUCUCCUCAUAGUCCUCCACUAAAGCCUGAACAACAAGGAAUGCUGUCGGAACUGGACCUUGAUGAAGGAAAUACUUUCUGACUCAUUGGAAUUUGUUAUAGUCAAAUUUGCCUAUGUGAUAACUUAGGUCUUCACGAUGGCCCAGAGUAAGACGACGCAGGAGGACCCUUCUAGUCAUUUAAUUAUUGCUUGACCAGAACUGUGCCUUGUAAGGUGUUUCCAGACCUAAGAAUAACAGGAACAUGGAGGAGUGGCAUCUCCAGUGUAGCCACCCACCAAAGCCUCAUCCUGAACACUAUGGCCUAGUGGGUCACUUACAGGGAUGUAGCUGGCAUUGAUGUAGUCAGAGCAAGGAUCAUCAUCUACAUUGGAGAGCUUCACUCGCGUGGCAUCAUCUGGAAGGAGAGAUUUGCUGCUGAGUCUUGGAGUGACUUUUCUACAGUUUAUGUGAUGUGUGUGAUGUGCCUUAGCUCUGAUCCCCACAACAGCCACAGAUGGGAAGUGAUCUUAUCUCCAUUUUGCAGAUGAGGCUCAGGCAGGAUAACUAACUUGCCCCAUGUUGCAUAGGUGGCCUAUAACCAGUCAGACACAGGAGACAACAUGAAGCCCCAUCUGUGCUUCCCUUUCUGACAUUACCACAUUUGCCUGAUGGAGUGGCCAGCUCCCUUUCACUGCUGGAAUGAAUACAAUCCAGAAAACCUACCUUCUAUUGCUUUACCUAAUGGGGUAAGGAAAUUUAAGUAGAAAUUGCUAACCGAAGACUUUGCUAAGCAAACCCAGGUCUGCUUGAUGUCAGAGCCCUUGCUGUUAACCCCAUUUACUGCUUAGCCUCCAAAGAGAAGCAAUAGCAUCACAUGGGGAAAUGUCAACAGCAUAAGAGGACUUUCAUAAUCAGAAUUUAAACUGGCUAUUAUCCCUCUGGAGGGAAGUGCAGGAAUAUACAAGCUAUUUCUUAUUAAAGGCAUUCAGAGCUUGAGAUUGUCCAUAUCGAGCUAUAUUAUAUUUCUUUAGCCUCAUUUCAUUUUUGGAGAAAAAUGCAGAAAUGGCUAGAGGAAGACAGUAUUACAAAUUUUGACACAAAACUUACAGGGCAAUAUAUUGUUGUAUCGAUUUUUCCCUCUAUUCUCCGGCAAGAGUGCAAUGUCACAUGACUGGUUUCGGCCCACGUCUUUUAACUCCUGUUAGGUCAAAUAUGAGUUUGUAAGUGGAGAAUAUGAAAUAGAAUAAAGCAAAUCAUACAGUCCUGGAGAUAACAUAAUAACAUGAAAAUAUAUACACUAGCUAUUGUUUAUGAAUGCCUAGUACUCAACAUGCAUUAGCCCUGAUCCCCACAACAGCCCCACAAGGGAGGUGGUGGUCUCACUAUUUUACAGGUGAGGCUCAGUCAGGAUAACUGAUGUGCCCCAGGUCACCCAAGUGGCAAACCUGAGAAUCAGUUCCAAAAGCUACGUGCUUUUUGCGAAACCACGGCAUCUUCCAGCCAAGCAAAUGGCCAGGCUGAAUAUCUGACAGCUUUAGGUCUGCAUUUGAGAUUUGUUAAUUCUUCCUUACUAUCUGAUCCAGGUAGCCCUUGGUUUGCUGUGUUAUUCUGGAGCUCAAGCUGGCCUCUAAGAUUAGAUGGUAUAUUCUAUUCAGGGCAUAGUUUAGGCAUAAAAGAGUGCUCAGCUGAGAUUCUAA
rnacentral:lncRNA from 1 species